GACGAGCGCUGGCGGCGUGCCUAAUACAUGCAAGUUGAGCGCUGAAGGUUGGUACUUGUACCAACUGGAUGAGCAGCGAACGGGUGAGUAACGCGUGGGGAAUCUGCCUUUGAGCGGGGGACAACAUUUGGAAACGAAUGCUAAUACCGCAUAAAAACUUUAAACACAAGUUUUAAGUUUGAAAGAUGCAAUUGCAUCACUCAAAGAUGAUCCCGCGUUGUAUUAGCUAGUUGGUGAGGUAAAGGCUCACCAAGGCGAUGAUACAUAGCCGACCUGAGAGGGUGAUCGGCCACAUUGGGACUGAGACACGGCCCAAACUCCUACGGGAGGCAGCAGUAGGGAAUCUUCGGCAAUGGACGUAAGUCUGACCGAGCAACGCCGCGUGAGUGAAGAAGGGUUUCGGAUCGUAAAACUCUGUUGGUAGAGAAGAACGUUGGUGGGAGUGGAAAGCUCAUCAAGUGACGGUAACUACCCAGAAAGGGACGGCUAACUACGUG
rnacentral:rRNA from 1 species